rnacentral:misc_RNA from 1 species
GUUUACUCCUGCUGAAAUGAGGGUAAGACUGAACUUGUGUUGUUUCAGCAGAUAUUUCUUGCAAUAAAAAAUUGGAAUAUUGAAAUGCUUGAUACUGCAAUUACUCUGAUGAUGCCUGGUCCAAUAUUUGGUUGGACACAGAUGAUGGAAUCAUAUUGAUUUAAUGGGUAAAAAUGCAGAGGAUAGAUCAAGUUAUUCCUUGAUGUCAUUUUCCUUCCUCUUCUAUGUUAGUAUAUUUAAGAUUUCCCUUAUGCCCAAGACCUUGUCUAGAGAGAAAUUUUCAUGAGAUUUACCUUGUGCCCGAGACCUUAUAUAGAGAAAAAGUUGGUCUCUCUUAGAAUUUCUAGAGCGCUGCAAAAAUAUAUAACUGAGAUAAAUAAAAUCUUUGGAGAGUUGUUGAUGCUAAUUUAUCUGUUUAUGUUGCAAGAACAUGUAUUUUUCACAGGUCUAUUUGUAUACAUUAGAUUCGAAAGCUUCCAAUGGUCUUCUUCUCUGGGCUUUUGGUUUAUCCAUUCUUCCUAUGAUAGCACUGUAGGUGUUGUGAGCGGUAAAAGCUAAUAGAUUAUGCUGCCUGGUUUUAAACUGGUUGAAACAUUACAAAAUUUAAAGAAAUUGCAUUGGUGGUUUUAUGUUGUAAGUGCCAUAAUUCCCCCCUCCCCCACCCCAAAAAAAAAAAAAA